rnacentral:lncRNA from 1 species
UUGAGUCUUUGCUUUGUUUUUUAUUAGCUGUGUGACCUUCAACCAGUGCCUUACACACUGGGACUGUGGCAGAGACAGCUUGUUCAUCCUCAAAUCAUUUCCUUUUCCACUGGGCACAGGGGAGAAGCCAGGAGCCGCCCCAGGACUGACUCUGGCCAAUGGGAUGUCCAUGGGAGGCACGUCUGCUGCACCCAGACCUGGCCAUUGACAUGUCCACGUGCUCCUUGACUCUGGCUCUUCCCCUACCUGCUAGAGAAGGUGCUGAUGGCUAGAGAAGGGCAGAGCCACAGACGGAAGGGGCCUGGGGCCUGCGUGGUGGCGGGCGCCUGUAGCCCCAGCUACUCAGGAGGCUGAGGCAGGAGAAUGGCGUGAACCCGGGAGGCAGAGCUUGCAGUGAACUGAGAUCGCGCCACUGCAUUCCAGCCUGGGCGACAAAGUGAGACUCCGUCUCAAAAAAAAAAAAAAGAAAUUCUACAAGUCCUCAUCACCAAUCUGGUUAAUCAACACGGUUGCACCUGCUGGCAGCCCACUAGAUCCAUGGUAUCCUUGCUCCUAGUCAACGCUAGGUGAGGCUCCCCAGCCAGAAGGAGGCCUGAAUCCACAAGCCAUUCCUGAAGCCCCAUGAUGGACCCUGUUCAUGUCCAAGCAGACACCAUUCCUCCCACUUUUGCUUCUCUGCAUGGGAUGCUGCAGUGCAGGAGGUCAAUUAACUCUUCCAGCUCAUCCCUGGUGGCACAUUUGGUGUUCUGUUACAUUUCUUCUAUUUUGCUACCUGGAAUUUCCCUCCCAAAUGAUUCCUUUUUUUCUGAUAACAAAGGAUUACAUGCCUAUUGUGGAAAUUUUGAAAAGAAAAUUUUAUUGUGAAAGAGUAAAAAAUGCACCCACUAAAGGUGAUCAUUAACAGUAUUAUGGCAUAUUUCUUCCUGUAUUUCUUUCUUCUUUCUUUCUUUUUUAAAAUAUCUCACCUCUGGCUGAAUCCUCAUAUUCCUUUUUUCUUUUUUUGGUGGAGGUUGUUGAAAAUUCUUAUAUUUCUUAAGGUAAGUAUAUAUAUAUUUUUUACCAUAGUCGAGAACACCAUACACAUAUAAUUUGGUAUCUUGCAUUUUAUGUUCUGCUUGUCACGAUCAUAGCAUUUCCCAUAUCACUAAAACCUCUUACAGUCAUGACUUUUCUUAGAGUUCUAUACUAUUCCAUUGUAAGGAUGUACCAUGAUUUUCCCUAUUGUUAGUUAGGUUGUUUCUAGUUUUUCAGUCUUAUAAGGAGUGCUGCAGUGAACAUGUUUGUAAACUGUGGAUUGCUUCCUUUGCAAUUUGAAUUCUUUAAGGCCAUUCAUGUUUUGGAUCUGGGUAACAUGUAGAAACCUAUUACAUUUCUUAGAUACAAUCUGGUUUCCAGAAUAUAGCAGCAUGGGAAGGUCAAAUGUGGGCUACAAGGAGCCCCAGGUUCGAUAGCGGAGAUUCUUGAAGCCCGGACGGAAGUGUUCUUUGCACUAGCUCUAGGUACAGGUGUCUGAACUGCCUGAGCAUAAGAAACGUGAUGGUUCAUUUUAGGUGUCGACUUGCCUAGAUUAUGGGGUACUCAGCUGGCAAAGCAUUAUUUCUUGGUAUGUCUGUGAGGGUGUUUCCAGAAGAGAUUGACAUUUGUCGUUCCUUGUCUUUUUAUGAUUACAUUAUAAGAACUCUUUAUAUAUUCUAAAUACUAGAUGCUUAUCAUAUAUAUGAUUUGCAAGUAUUUUCUCCUAUUCUGUGGGUUGUCUUGUCACUUUCUUGAUAGUGCCCUUUGCCACAAAAAAGUUUUUAAUGUUGAUCAAGUCUAUUUUUUGACUUCAUCUGUAAAAUCCAUAAUUUUGAUGUAUCUUUCUUUUUCUUUUUUUGCUUAACGCUUUUGGUGUCACGUCUAAGAAACCAUUGCUUAAUCCAAGGUCACACAGAUUUACUCCUCUGUUCUACUGUCUUGGUUAGUGUAGAUUUGUCAUACAUUUUGAAAUUGGAAAGUUUGUGUCUUUCAACUUUGUUUUUUUUCAAGACUGUUUUGGCUAUCUUCACCUUGUCUGUAAAUUAUCUUCUUUGUACCAGAUGAGCUCAACUAUAUUUCCUUAUGAGACCUUAACGAUUCCAUUUUACUAGGGUUAUUAGGUGUAGGUACUAUAUGAAUUUCACUAAAAGAUGAAGAAAUCAUUUCUCUGAAUCUGUUUUUUUAUCUUCAUUACGGUGGUGUGAUCCAGGUGACCAAGUGACCUCGUGGGCCUGUGUCUGUAAUAUGACACACUCAUUUUUAAUGACAAAUUAUAGUUACCAAAGCUACACCCUCCCCAGCCUGUUAGCUGCAGUCGUCUGCUCCAUCACAUCACUCCCGUUGACUCUCCUGCACCUGUUCCCCACCUCCACCCACCUUGUUUCUGCAGGGCCACAAGGAGUGCUUGUCAUUGCAUUGCCAAAACCAGGCAAGGUUGUUGUUUUGGGAUUCAUUCAAAGCUCCCUGUCCUAUGGGCACCAGAGCAGGGCUGUUUCUAUGCAGACAAGAAGAAUAGUGCCAUACUCCAGCUGGUGGAAGCCCUUAGAGGGGGGAAACAUAGCAUUCCAUCACCACCUUCUCCCCAUCACCUAGCCUGCUCCUCUCUCCCAGGUCACCACAUAGAAGCUUGGAUUAAUGCAAGCCCACCAAAAGAAAACUGGCAUGGGGCAAGGGGUGGGGGACCGUGUGUGGAUCUUACCAGCAGCAGCUGGUGCCUGCUCUGGGGGCAAACAUGAGGUCUCUGAUGAUUUAAAAUGAUACCUACCCCGGGAGGUGGCGUGAGAUUAACUGAAAUAAUGCAAGGCAAGUCCUGGCACCAAAGACAUUCCCCCCAGGGUUUCAAAAUGUCAAAGAUGAUGAGGUCCCUUCUCUGGUAAAGGGUGCAUUUAUUUCAGCCCAGGUGCUGCACCCAGGCAGUCUGACGAAGCUGUUCCCGCUCCCAAUCUGGCCAGACACGGCUCUGCGUAAUUGCGCUCUGCGGUCCACCUGCUCCCCCGCGGCAGUCCCCCAGCUCCGCAGCAUGGUGUGUUCGCAGAAGUGUGAUAGAUGACUCCGUGUCGGAAUACAGAAGCAGAGGGAGGGCUCUGGGAACAAAGCCCUGAGGAUGAGACGCAGUCCUCAAACUCGACAGUUCACAGUCCGCAGGGGAGCAGACGUGGGAGCAAUAAUACAGCACAUUACCACACAUAUAAUAGUGAAAAAUGUAUGCAAGGUGUGGGGGGAGGGGGUGGAUGGAGCGGGGAGGGGGGUGGAUGGAGCAGGGAGGGGGAACCAGAGUCGGGGGGUUUGGUGCCCUCCCAUAAUCUCCUCAACACCCUUCAAAGCUACCCUAAAUAAGCAUUCUAAGCAUAAAUAGCUAGUUUGCUAUGUGAAAUGUGAACUCCAUGUCAAGACAAAUCUGUACUGUCCUUUUCAAUCCUACAUACUAGCUUGAGCUGACACUCAGGGAGAGGUGUGGGUUGGGGCUUUGGGGACAAAGGACUGAGUAGUUCUGGAACUACAACAGGGGCAGACAAGACCAUAAAGGACUUUGG